AUACGGAGGGGGCUAGCGUUGUUCGGAAUUACUGGGCGUAAAGCGCGUGUAGGCGGAUCGUUAAGUCAGGGGUGAAAGCCCGGGGCUCAACCCCGGAACUGCCCUUGAUACUGGCGAUCUAGAGUCCGGAAGAGGUGGGCGGAAUUCCCGGUGUAGAGGUGAAAUUCGUAGAUAUCGGGAGGAACACCAGUGGCGAAGGCGGCUCACUGGUCCGGUACUGACGCUGAGACGCGAAAGCGUGGGGAGCAAACAGGAUUAGAUACCCUAGUAGUCC
rnacentral:rRNA from 1 species